UAAAGCUAAGAACAGUUGCGAAAAAUCAUGAGAUCGUCUUGAAACAAGUGUUGCCACCAGCCACCCUUCCCAGUGCUGCCACCAGCCGACGGCCUUCUACAACGACAAGUAAACGCACCACUCGUUUGCCCUUUGCGACUGCAGUACGCACCACCACAACAGAGGCGGAAAACCCUUCCACGGAACUUGUUCCCCGUGGAUCAUCGCCAGUACCGUAAUCAACCACGACCAAUGAACUGGAAGAUUCGGAACAUAAUUCAACGGCGACGACUGAACUUUCCGUGCAGCAAACUACAACCUUAGCUACUUCUACAUUUAAAGCUGAUGCCGCAACGACCACUGGAUUAAGAGGAUGGGCACGGAGCGACAAUGCCUUCGAUAUGGACGCCACAAUCAACGAAUUUACAUCUCGAAUCAACAGCCAACUGACCCAGAUGAAAAUGAACAUGCUCCCGAUAUUCAGCGCUUUUCCUGCAUCUGGUGGAUUCAGUCCGUUUCCCAAU